rnacentral:tRNA from 1 species
GGGAAGGUGCCAGAGUGGUUAAUCGGGACGCUCUCGAAAAGCGUUGUGGGGGUGACUCCACCGUGGGUUCGAAUCCCACCCUUCCCGCCU